UAGUCGUUGCAAUCAAAUUCAUGGUUGCUCCAUAUGUAUUUUACUGAAAUCGUUAGGAAAUAUCCUAUAGUGUUAUUUGAUAAAGUUAUGUGCUAAGUGUUUGCUUAACUCCUUAUAUUAGUCUACAGUUAUUAAGGACAUGAUUAAGUAAAUAAAAAUGUACUCUCUUGAUAGCUUUAGAUUUUAGAUGAGAUGGUCACAUUUCAAUGUUGUAAUAGAUCAGACAGAGAUGUUGGAUUUAAUCUUGUUGGCACCUAUUAGUAAAAAGGUUUUCCAUGUGUUUGAAUCAGUAAAGAGGAUCAAGUCUGAACAUACGACAUUAUAAGUGUACUCUCUUUAACGACUUCAUCUUUUACAUCAGAUAGUAACACAUUAAAUAUAGAACAAAGCACAAAGACUUCUGCUAAGAUUUAUUACUCCCUCGAAAACAUAUCCUUGUGUUUUAUUCAUGGACUAUAUAGGAUGUUUAAACCAAUAAAUAGAGCCUGUUAAUCUGAUAAAAACUAGUCAGAUUGAUAAACACUUGACACAUAAUUUUUUUUUACUUUUUGUAAGGUUAUAACGUGUUUUUUCGAGUGAAAAUUUAUCCUCUUGUUUCCAUGAAUUAUUUCAUAUGUAAAAAUCAUACAUACGAAUGAAACAUUUUUGUUAUUAACUAGUGAAAUUGUGCUUUUCCGAUACAGAGCACUUGCGGACAAGGAUUAUACUUGUAAAUUUGUACAAUAUACAUUUGACUAGUUUACACCUUCAGGGUUUAAAGAGUUUCAAUUACAACUCAAGAUGAGAACUUUGAAGAUUUAUCAAGUUGAGAAAUUAAUCAGGAAAAAAAUAUAAAAAUAUUAUUGUUCUAUGAGAUUUUAUAAACCAUAUCAUGAUAUAUGUAUUGUGUUCAUACUGCUACAAGUGGGAUUUAUUCUCCCCUCUUCUGCCAGGGUUUGAAUUUGGUUAAGGAGCUCUUGAAUGCGUUGUUCCACCAGCUCCGAAAAAACAGCAGGCACAUGCUCUAAUAUAUUUUGUAGUUAUUACAAAUUUUUAAUCUAUAAAUAUUUUUUCGUAUUGCAAAUUUUGAAUUUAUUGA